rnacentral:tRNA from 1 species
GAGGGUAUGGCUCAGUGGCAGAGCACGUGCUUAGCACAGGGGAGGUCCUGGGUUCAAUUCCUGGUACCUCUG